GUUGCUGAUGAGAUUAUACCCAUUAAAAUUGAUAACUUUGACUGAGAAUGAGUCUUCAAAAGGUCAGAGAUAAUUGACUGAGAGACAGCAUACUCUGACUCAUCUGCUGAAGGUAUCCAUCAGUGUUCAGUGCUACGAGGAUGAACAAUUUAUUUUCUUGAGCUUUGGCGUCAAACUUUUGUCAGUCAUGCAGAUGAAAUUAGUGGAAUAAAUAUGAUAUACUGUAUACUUCUAGAUCUUUAACGGGGAUGACGCCUAGUCGCCUACAGGUGAAUGUUGAAUCCAUUUGCAUUUACGAAGCUCAUGACCAAAAAUAUGAAAGACUCGUAUUUACAAAAUUACAAAAAGUAAAAUUGUAUUAACUGUUUGUAUUGGAUAAAUGGAAAGCGGCUCAUGGACAUGGCACAUUGACAA